GAAAUGCGAUAAGUAAUGUGAAUUGCAGAAUUCCGUGAAUCAUCGAAUCUUUGAACGCACAUUGCGCCCUCUGGUAUUCCGGGGGGCAUGCCUGUCCGAGCGUCAUUGCGAACCCCUCAAGCACGGCUUGUGUGAUGGGCCCUCCCGCGUCUUGGUCGUCAAGACGGGCCCGAAAAGCAGUGGCGGCUUCGCGGUUAUCCGAUCAGCCAGAGCGUAUGGGGACUUUCUCUCUGUCACACGCCCGCGGCGCGGACCGACGCCUGUCGACCUUUAUUCAUCUUUUUCUCGGUUGACCUCGGAUCAGGUAGAGAUACCCGCUGAACUUAGGC
rnacentral:misc_RNA from 1 species